AGCGGCGGAGGGAGGGGGGUGCGCCGGCGCCCUGGCGCAGCUCCGCCGCCUCACGUGGGGCGAAUCCUUGCAACUCCUCGAGGAGCUCGACUGCUGGAUCGCUGACGACUGUCUCGACUCCUGCUCUGUACCGAGGUUGAACAACAUGGAAUGGAACGUGACAACGCUGCAAGCGGCUGAUCUGAGGCAUCAUAUCCUGUCCCAGUCAGCGCGUGCUGUUCGGCGCAUCGCAAGAGCCACGUCCGGCAGGGUGAGAUGUGAGAGGUGGCGUGGUGUUCCGUUAGAGUGGUUGGAUAAACCUGGACUGCAGGCCCAGGCGGCUGUUUUCCGGGGACGACUCUCCAGCUACUGGCGGGACUCGGUGCAGCUGCUCUCACUCAGUGC